UACGGAGGGUGCGAGCGUUGUCCGGAAUCACUGGGCGUAAAGGGCGCGUAGGUGGCGCGGGCAGUCAACGGUGAAAGUUCGGGGCUCAACCCUGAAUCGGCCGUCGAUACUCCCGGGCUGGAGCACUGUAGAGGCUAAUGGAAUUCCGGGUGUAGCGGUGGAAUGCGUAGAGAUCCGGAAGAACACCGGUGGCGAAGGCGGUUAGCUGGGCAGUUGCUGACACUGAGGCGCGACAGCGUGGGGAGCAAACAGG
rnacentral:rRNA from 1 species